UACAGAGGGUGCUAGCGUUGUUCGGAAUUAUUGGGCGUAAAGGGCGCGUAGGCGGUUUCGCAUGUCGAAUGUGAAAGCCCACCUCUUAAAGGUGGAAUUGCAUUCGAAACUGCGAGACUAGAGUGCCGGAGAGGGUGGUGGAAUUCCUGGUGUAGAGGUGAAAUGCGUAGAUAUAGGAAGGAACACCAGUGGCGAAGGCGACCACCUGGACUGAUACUGACACUGAGGUGCGAAAGCGUGGGGAGCAAACAGGAUUAGAAACCCUGGUAGU
rnacentral:rRNA from 1 species